UAUUGACAGCACGAGCGCUUCAUAUUGGCGGGAAGCUGCGAGCGAUUGACAGAUAGAAGCUGUCAGUAGUACGGCAAGCCUAUAGUGAGCAGUGUACGAAUUAUACAAUGGCUUUCAAAUGGUCGACUCUUUCAAAAGAGAGAAAUUCAAUAUGAAUCCUACUAUGAAGGUGAACGACAAUAAGGAAGAAAUUCAUCUGUGACAUGAGUGAAAAAGAGAUUAUGAGCUGAUUAUGUCUCUUUCUCUACGCUGCUGAAUCCCGUGUUAUUCCUGACUGAGCAAGUCGUCAGAUCAGACUCUGGCUAAAACUCCAGGUAAACAUCUUGGACUACAUGUUUGGCUAAACCAUGGCAGAUGGCAGACAGGUUGGAUGUUUAGCUGGGAAGACAAUAGCAGAGCACACACCUCUUUUGACACACGAGUAUAUCAGGUAGAAAUGAUAGAUAAUGGAGGUUUACACAGGAGAUCGCAAAGAGAGUGUGGGAUGGGAUUCACAAGAAGAUUGUAGGAGUCAACACAGAGAAUCACAAGGAGCUUCACAAGGUGAAGAUUUUUAGUAUUGGGGUGAGUGAGUGAGGUCGCUGAGUGGGCGUGACGUAGGAGCCUGGUGAAACCGUGACAGUUGGGUUGAUUCAUGACCUACAGCACUUGCCCCUCUUGUCACGCUGCUGGAAUUUCCGAAGCCGACGGGCCCACAGGUCCUUCCACGGGAUGAGCAGGCUGCCCUUGUCCGCCACCACGCCGCUCUGACCGCGAGAGUCGUCGUCGUCUGAGCCCAUGAGCAGGGCUCUUUCUUUGCGCUCUUGAAUGUGAACACUCUCUUUAGAGAGGGAGGCAAGGAUCGCCCCGAUUGCUGAAUGGAAUGUCCCAAUUGAGCAGCGGGGGGGAGGCUGCGAGCAAAUUGCACCCAAUUUUAGAGAACGCACUCCCACAGCCCCGCCAUUCAUCGCCUGUGUUUCUCUGGGCCAGAGCCCGCUUCGCCAUCCAAAUAACAAGAGAUAAAAAGAAAAGAAGGGUGUGCAGAGGGUAGCACGUCUGAGAGAGGAGGGGGGCCACUGUUUAUCAUCCCAACCACAGAGAAGGUGCCAGAAGAAUCGCGGAUGUGUUUCGACCUCAUGAGCUAUCUGAGCCCGGCCGGCGGUGCCCGGUCCAAGAGCAGCGUGAGAAUCCUGCUCCGGGUCUCGCUCUUGACCCGCUCUCGUUUCUUCACAGCGGGAGACGGCAGCGAGCCGAAACCUGACUCAAAAUGUGUUCUUGAGCUUAUUUAAGAAGGUUGAAAACAAUUGUUUUGACUCAUUAGUGGUGUUUGCUAAAUUGUGUUCGUACGUAUUAAACUUCGGCAUACAGCUUGUCCUGUGUAUUUUUGUUUUGUUUUUUCUGAUCAAAUUGGCUGCAAAGUUCCAUUUCGAAAGACAGAACUCAAUAUACCAUUGACUUAAUUGACUCUUUUUACUUGAUCCCAAAAGUAACCACUUAGAAACCAUUCAAAACACCUUAGCAACCAUAUAGCAACAUCCUCACAACCAUUUAGAAGGUUAGCAACCACAUAGUAUUGUCCUUGUGAUCACCUAGAAUCAGUGUUGGGAAAAGUUACUUUUAAAAGUAAUCCGUUAUAAUAUCGUGUUACUCCCUAAAAAGUAACUCAUUUAGUAUGGUUUAAUUGGAUCAUAUAUAUCAUAUAUACAUUUGAGUAAUUUAAUAUAUAUAAUUA